ACUUCCGCCCAGGGGAGUGGGAAGUAAGUGGAGACACGUGCUUUGGCCUGUUGGAGGGGAAACCCGCUCUCGCCUCCUGGUGGUCGCCGACUCGCAGUCCGCAGGAUGACUCAGGGCAGCCCUGACCACAGUUCCGCCGCCAUCGGCCCUAGCCUGCGGAAUUGGGCUCGCCCCGGGACGAUAACAGAGCUCUGCCGGGGGCUGGAGGCACUGACCGGGUGACCAGAGACCCAGAGACCAGACCCCCUCCACGGCGCCCGGGAUUUCGGGGACGGCUUCUCCCAUCGCAAGUUUCAACAGAAAAUGAGAAAUAUCCCCCGACGAUUGGCUGAAAACAUGCAGCAACCACUAUUUUCUUCCUGCCCCUCGUUGAUGAGAGCAUUCGAAGUGACCUCAGCAGGGCAUCCAGGUCAGUUUCUGGAAGACUUGUGUGUGUGAUGAAUGAAUAUCUGGUUUUGUCUCUGCUGGGCCUGUGUGCCUGGAAAGGAAUUGUUUUGGCCUAGGAUCAUCCAGGUUUGUUUGGUUUAGUUCUUGACCACAUAUUUUUUGAAUGGUGACUGCUUAAGACCCUGUUGUGUAUGGCUAUAAAUAGAUACACGCCAAGGUGACCACAUACUCUGUGGUUCCUGUGCCCGCCGGCCAUGUGUCUGAGUGUGUAGCCUCUCAUCAUCUAAAGGAACUUUGGCUGCAGAGGGGAGGCCUGGUCCCAUGGGAAGUUUUGGGAGCGCAGCAGCAGGUGGGUUCAAACGACCCAGCAAGUGCCUCCUUAGCACUUAGAGGCGGAGGCCACCACGUUGUCCACGUGGGGUUUCUGAUCCCAGCUCCCCACCAGCCUGCUGGACCUCGGGCAGGUCCCUCCCUGUUUGUACCUCCAUUACUUCUUCAGUAAGAUGGGGACACUGAAGAUGACCAUGCCUCCCACCAGAUUGGUGCUUUUUUUGUUUUAAUAAGGGACAGAGUCUCACUAUGUUGCCUAUAGGCUGGUCUCAAGCUCUUGGCCUCAGUUUUCCUGCCUCAGCCUUCAAAUAUGCUGGGGUGACAGGCAUGAGCCACUGCACUGGCCCAGAUUGGUACAUUUGAGGGUUAAAUGAGCAAAUCCUAUAAAGCACUCAGGAGAGGGCUGUGGGGUUUGGGCUGGAGUGCGGUGGUGUGACCUCGGCUCACUGCAUCCUCCGCCUCCCGGGUUCAAGUGAUGGGAUUACAGGUGCCUGCCACAACGCCCAGCUAAUUGUUUGUAUUUUUAGUAGAGACGAGGUUUCACCAUGUUGGCCAGGCUGGUCUCGAACUCCUGACCUCAGGUGAUCCACCUGCCUUGGCCUCCCAAAGUGCUGGGAUUACAGGUAUGAGCUACCGCGCCCGGCACAAAGCAUUUUCAGCUGUGAAAUUCCCUGGGGUGCUGCAGUAGAGGAAGGUUUGGGGUCUUGACGGGUGCUAUUUGCCACGGAAAGAUGCCUUCCUGCUCCCAGGGCAGGAGAGCCGAGGUAAGACUUACUGUAGGCUGUCGUUUUUUUUGUUUGUUUUUUGUCUUUGCGAUGGAGUCUCACUCUGUCGCCAGGCUGGAGUGCAGUGGCAUGAUCUUGGCUCACUGCAGAACCUCCACCUCCCAGGUUCAAGCGAUUCUCCUGCCUCAGCCUCCCAAGUAACUGGGAUUACAGGCACAUGCCCCCACAACCAGCUAAUUUUUUAUUUUUAGUAGAGACAGGGUUUCACAUGUUGGCCAGGCUGGUCUUGAACUCCUGACCUCAGGUGAUCCGCCCGCCUCGGCCUCCCAAAGUGCUGGGAUUACAGACAUGAGCCACUGCGCCCAGCCAGGCUGUUGUUUUUU
ensembl:lncRNA SNHG20 small nucleolar RNA host gene 20